GUUAAGAGAAGCCAUUGAAGAACCUCAGUGAGAAAGUGGUGUAAAGCUCCUGUUGAUUGAAGAACUUGAGUGAGAAAGUGGUAAUAAUUUGGCAAUCUGCUCAUAUGUGUCUGGCCUCUCCAGUUGCUCUUAGCUCCUGAGGGCAAAGCCUGGGCCUCAUCCUCUUGUGGAUCCAGGAGAGCAGUCGCUGAAGAGAAAGAGGAAGAAAAGGAAUGGCUAGAAAAGAAAGUUUAUUUCCACUGCAGGAAGCACUGCCUCUCAUCUGAGAAAUGUCCCAAGCAGGAAUCAGGAAUUCAUCCUGAGGAGAUGUGCCGAGUGAUGUAUGUUCAGAGAUGCUCAUCACUGUGUUAUUUAUCACAGAGGAAAACUUGAACAAUAUCCUGAGGAGGACAAAGCCAUGAAGGAAAAGCCUCAUUGAAGAAGAGGAACCUAAGAGAAGCAGAAAGAACUCUAAAGAACUCCCAUAGGCC